rnacentral:rRNA from 1 species
UCCGUAGGUGGAUAAUUAAGUCAGAGGUGAAAGUUUGCAGCUCAACUGUAAAAUUGCCUUUGAUACUGGUUAUCUUGAGUUAUUAUGAAGUAGUUAGAAUAUGUAGUGAAGCGGUGAAAUGCAUAGAUAUUACAUAGAAUACCAAUUGCGGAGGCAGAUUACUAAUAAUAUACUGACACUGAUGGACGAAAGCGUGGGUAGCGAACAGGAUUAGAUACCCUGGUAGUCC